CACAAACUGGAACGGUGUUGCUUCCCACAUACCAGGCACAGCCCAGAGCGCUUUAGCUCAGCGCCUCAUCUCAUCCUCACACACCUCCAUGAGCUCCCUGUUCACGGAGAUUAAGGGCUGAUCACAGACACACAACCUCAUAAGCAUCCUGCAUACUACACUCCAUCUGAGUCUGCUUCCUAGGGAACCCAAGUUGCAACUGGAUUCAUAGGUCAUUGUUGACUUACCAGAAGGGCUGCGAGUUCCUUGGCUGACUCAGAGCUUACUCCUCCUUCAGCAACACUGAUACCCGGCCCUUGACCUUGUGACUUGCUGCCACCAGCCACAAAGUUAUGAAAUGGAGGAAACAUAUCACCAGAAACACAAGCCUUCCCGAUUUUUUUUUACUUUCUUUCAUUCAAAAUCUAAUGGAGUGUUGCUUUUUAUCACAAAUGAAAGCCUUUCGUGUUUGAGUUUCUAUCAUAGAACUUCAGGCAUCUGCAAAUGGGAGUGGAGGUCAGAGGGGCGGGGGUGUCUGCUCUGGCCACGCUGUUCUCUGGGAGUCGUGGUGCUGGUCAGGGGAGGCCUCCUCCCAGCCAGCUUUGCUGGAUGCUGGCUCCCAGAGAGUGCACAUUACUCACCCUCUCUCAGCCUGCACAUCCUCAUUUACAAAGUAAACUUCUUUUCAGGAUCCUAUAGGAUUAAACAUAUUACAUAUGCGGAAGCAGCACCUAGAGAGAGUAAAUACUAAAAAAAGUGUUAGUGAUCUCAUUUUCUUUCUCCCCUGACUAGUCUCCCUGGAGUGCUGUUCACACCCAGAUAA